UAUUAAUUACUUGUCAAUAUUCUGAUUAGCAGAGAUGCUCUGGUUGGUUUUAGGGCAGCCAUUCCAGCCUGGAAUGUUCACUUGGCACAAACCAGCCAGUUGGAUUUUCUUUAACACAAUUCCUGCAUCAAACAGAAAAUCCUGCCAAUUCUCCUGCUCCUGAAACAUCAUCUUCCCAAAAUGUUCCAUGAGAUAAAGGCUGGGAAAGAUCUCCCGAAUCUAUGAUUUUACUGAAACCUCCCUCUGAUGAUUAUUCCAAACAUUUGCUGGAGAUUUCCCAUUAUUUGCUUCUUCCUGCUAAAACCAAUAGUUCCUUUUUCCUUUUCCCAACCCGGAGCAGGCCAGGGAAGCUGCCACAGAGUCUUGGGAAGGGGAUGUGCCCUGGAAUCCUGAACCUCUGCCUGGAGCAUCCCUGUCCCCAUUGCAUCCCUGUCCCGUCCCUGUCCCUGUUCCCUGUCCCAUCCCUGUCCCUGCUCCGUCCCUGUUCCUAUCCCUGUCCCUGUUCCCUGUCCCUGCUCCAUCCCUGUCCCUGUUCCCUGUCCCUGCUCCAUGCCUGUCCCUGUCCCAUCCCUGUCCCUGUUCCCUGUCCCCAUUCCAUCCCUGUCCCUACUCCAUCCCUGUCCCCGCUCCCUGUCCCUGCUCUAUCCCUGUCCCUGUUCCCUGUCCCUGUUCCCUGUCCCUACUCCAUCCCUGUCCCUGCUCCAUCCCUGUCCCUGCUCCAUCGCUGUCCCUGCUCCAUCCCUCCCUCUCUGCUGUUUCCCAGGAAUAGCUGGUCACGGAUACUUCUCUCCAGCCUCUCGCUGCUUUUCCACCUUCCGCCAGUUCCCGGGGAGAGGCCGCAGCUUUAUUUUACUGCCAUCUACUGGAAAAAAACAAAAUUAUUUCUAAAAUCGCCGAGCAGCGGGACGCGCCGGGGCUGAGCCCGCCUCACUCUGCCCAGCACCGGGGCGCAGAGCGGGGCCAAGGCAGGGGCAGCGAGGCCGCAAUUCCCGAAUUCCCAAAUUCCCGAAUUCCCGGAGUUUCCCGAUCCCCGGGAACCUUCUGGAGCGGCGGCCCCGCGGUCACCAUGGCAACGGCGGCGCGCGGGAAGCCCCGCCCCUCACGC
rnacentral:lncRNA from 12 species